rnacentral:rRNA from 1 species
GACGAACGCUGGCGGCAUGCCUAAUACAUGCAAGUAGAACGCUGAAGAGAGGAGCUUGCUCUUCUUGGAUGAGUUGCGAACGGGUGAGUAACGCGUAGGUAACCUGCCUUGUAGCGGGGGAUAACUAUUGGAAACGAUAGCUAAUACCGCAUAACAAUGGAUGACACAUGUCAUUUAUUUGAAAGGGGCAAUUGCUCCACUACAAGAUGGACCUGCGUUGUAUUAGCUAGUAGGUGAGGUAAUGGCUCACCUAGGCGACGAUACAUAGCCGACCUGAGAGGGUGAUCGGCCACACUGGGACUGAGACACGGCCCAGACUCCUACGGGAGGCAGCAGUAGGGAAUCUUCGGCAAUGGGGGCAACCCUGACCGAGCAACGCCGCGUGAGUGAAGAAGGUUUUCGGAUCGUAAAGCUCUGUUGUAAGUCAAGAACGGGUGUGAGAGUGGAAAGUUCACACUGUGACGGUAGCUUACCAGAAAGGGACGGCUAACUACGUG